rnacentral:rRNA from 1 species
UAUCUCUGUAGAGUCUGCAUAUCAAUAAGCGGAGGAAAAGAAACUAACAAGGAUUCCCCUUAGUAACGGCGAGUGAAGCGGGAAGAGCUCAAAUUUGAAAUCUUCAAGGGUUUACCUUGACGAAUUGUAGUUUAUAGAAGUGUUUUCUGUUAGAGAGGUUGGUAAAAGUUCUUUGGAAUAGGACAUCAUAGAGGGUGAGAAUCCCGUAUUUGAUCACAUUAUCUCCUAACUGUGUGAUAGCACUUUCAAAGAGUCGGAUUGUUUGGGAAUGCAGUCCAAAAUGGGUGGUAAAUUUCAUCUAAAGCUAAAUAUUGGCGAGAGACCGAUAGCGAACAAGUACCGUGAGGGAAAGAUGAAAAGAACUUUGAAAAGAGAGUUAAACAGUACGUGAAAUCGUCAAAAGGGAAGCGUUUGACACCAGUGUUGUUUUCUCGAAAAUCAAUUAAGGAUGGUGGGAUUUUAAGUUUCAUUGACCUUAUCAAGCUUGUCUGCUACUUUUUCCGGUCUUUCUUAAUGCACUUUUCGGUUAACAAGUCAACAUCAAUUUCUUUUGUUGUAAAAGAGUCAUGAGGAAGGUGGCUUUCCCUUUCGGAUGAAAGUGUUUAUAGCCUUGUACUUCUGCAAUCGGAGAGAUUGAGGUCUGCAGCGUAGAUCCUUCGGGGUUAGAUACACUUGUGCUAAGUUAUAGAUUUUUAUAGACAACUUGUUGACUAUGAUUAGUCAUGUAGCUUACUCGCUUAUGCUAUUUUACCUACGCUUAGGAUGUUGAGUAGCGACAUACGCAC